rnacentral:rRNA from 1 species
CAGCAGCCGCGGGAAUACGAAGGGGGCUAGCGUUGCUCGGAAUUACUGGGCGUAAAGGGAGCGUAGGCGGAUGAAUUAGUCAGGGGUGAAAUCCCGGGGCUCAACCUCGGAACUGCCUUUGGUACUGUUCAUCUUGAGUAUGGGAGAGGUGUGUGGAACUCCGAGUGUAGAGGUGAAAUUCGUAGAUAUUCGGAAGAACACCAGUGGCGAAGGCGACACACUGGCCCAUUACUGACGCUGAUGCUCGAAAGCGUGGGGAGCAAACAGGAUUAGAUACCCGCGUAGUCCCUGUCUCUUAUAC